AGAACGAACGCUGACGGCGGGGUUUAGGCAUGCAAGUCGCGCGAGAAAGUCUUCGGACGAGUACAGCGGCGUAAGGGUGAGGAAUAGGUAGUCAACGUACCGUAGAGACGCGAAUAAUUUUCCGAAAGGGAUUGUAAUGCGCGAUGUUGCCACUUGGACUCAGGUCUAGGUGGUGAAAGCCGGGGAUCCUUCGGGACCUGGCGCUCUAUGAGCGGACGACCUCCGAUUAGCUAGUUGGCGGGGUAAUGGCCCACCAAGGCUGUGAUCGGUA
rnacentral:rRNA from 1 species